UAUAAAAGGUCCAGCCUGCCCAGUGACCCUGUUCAACGGCCGCAGUAUCCUAACUGUGCGAAGGUAGCGUAAUCACUUGUUCUUUAAAUGAGGACUAGUAUGAAUGGCAUCACGAAGAUUAUACUGUCUCCUUUUUCUAAUCAGUGAAACUAAUCUUCCCGUGAAGAAGCGGGAAUAAAAAUAUAAGACGAGAAGACCCUAUGGAGCUUUAAACUAAAUCACAUUUGCCCAAUAACUAUUAAAUUUGAGAAAAAUACUAUUAUUCUGGCAUUAUAAUGAUAAGUUUUAGGUUGGGGUGACCGCGGAGAAAAAAGCAUCCUCCGCAUUGAAUAAGAUAUUAUCUUUAGCUAAAAGCAACAUCUUAAAGCAUCAAUAAAUUGACAUUAUUGACCCAAUAAUAUUGAUCAACGAACCAAGUUACCCUAGGGAUAACAGCGCAAUCCAUCUCAAGAGCUCCUAUCGACAGAUGGGUUUACGACCUCGAUGUUGGAUCAGGGUAUCCCAGUGGUGCAGCCGCUACUAAAGGUUCGUUUGUUCAA
rnacentral:rRNA from 1 species